ACGUGAGCAGACCGCGGAAGGAC
rnacentral:rRNA from 1 species